CCUCUAAAAGCACUCUGUGUGGGGAACAUGAGAGCCAGACCAAAGCUCAGAGGAACCCACCUGGACCUCCACCCAGAAGUGUGUCCUUACAGAGUGACCGGUCUAAAGGUUAUCCCAUUCAUUUUAAAGUCCAGCCUCUGUCUGCUGCAGGGAGAGGUCAGAGGUCACAGUCUGCAGGGUCCAGCUGUCCAUCUGUGAGGAGUCACCGGUUGAAAGAUCAACCUCCAUUCUUCAGUGAUGAACCUGGACCAACAAGGUCAGAGACAUGUGAUGAGCUCCUUUAGAUAUAACCUCUAGCACUACUGUAUUUAUUCUUUAGUUCUGGAGCAUUGCAAUGUCACCUGUCAACUCAUUUGUUCUUUAUUUACAUCAAAAACAUGUUUAAAAGAAAGCUUCCUUUAUUAUUUUUAUUUACUUUUUUGAAUUUUAUUUAGUGUUAUUAACUUAGCUCUAAAUCCUCAUACUGCUCCUCGUGUGGCAUCACUGAGUCUCAGGAGAAAGUCAGACUGUGACACAAAGCAAACAAGUCAGUCUUCCAAAGGACGGUUGGAGAAUAAAAAUAAUAUGUUUUAGAAGCACCAAAUAAACUCAAAUCCUAAUCCAGUGGAAAUAUUGUAGAGGUUCCUGAAGUGAAAAUCCACCAUAACCCAGAGCUGAAGUUGCUCUGUGUGAAUAACUAAGUUCAACUCAAUUCAAUUCAAUUUAAUUUAUGUAGCAUCAAAUCACAAAAACAGUCGCCUCAAGGCGCUUUAUAUUGUACCGUACAUCCUACAAUAAUAGAU